CCUACGGGUGGCUGCAGUGGGGAAUAUUGCACAAUGGGCGCAAGCCUGAUGCAGCCAUGCCGCGUGUGUGGAGAAGGCCUUCGGGUUGUAAAGCACUUUCAGCGGGGAGGAAGGCGGUGAGGUUAAUAACCUCAUCGAUUGACGUUACCCGCAGAAGAAGCACCGGCUAACUCCGUGCCAGCAGCCGCGGUAAUACGGAGGGUGCAAGCGUUAAUCGGAAUUACUGGGCGUAAAGCGCACGCAGGCGGUCUGUCAAGUCGGAUGUGAAAUCCCCGGGCUCAACCUGGGAACUGCAUUCGAAACUGGCAGGCUAGAGUCUUGUAGAGGGGGGUAGAAUUCCAGGUGUAGCGGUGAAAUGCGUAGAGAUCUGGAGGAAUACCGGUGGCGAAGGCGGCCCCCUGGACAAAGACUGACGCUCAGGUGCGAAAGCGUGGGGAGCAAACAGGAUUAGAUACCCUUGUAGUC
rnacentral:rRNA from 1 species